rnacentral:rRNA from 1 species
UAGGGAAUAUUGGACAAUGGGGGCAACCCUGAUCCAGCCAUGCCGCGUGAGUGAAGAAGGCCCUCGGGUUGUAAAGCUCUUUUGUCCGGAAAGAAAAGCUUCGGGUUAAUACCCCGGGGUUCUGACGGUACCGGAAGAAUAAGCACCGGCUAACUUCGUGCCAGCAGCCGCGGUAAUACGAAGGGUGCAAGCGUUACUCGGAAUUACUGGGCGUAAAGCGUGCGUAGGUGGUUGUUUAAGUCUGAGGUGAAAGCCCUGGGCUCAACCUGGGAAUGGCAUUGGAAACUGGGCAGCUAGAGUGCGGUAGAGGGGAGUGGAAUUCCCGGUGUAGCAGUGAAAUGCGUAGAGAUCGGGAGGAACAUCUGUGGCGAAGGCGACUGCCUGGACCAGCACUGACACUGAGGCACGAAAGCGUGGGGAGCAAACA